rnacentral:rRNA from 1 species
AUGAAGACCUUCCUCAUCUUUGCCCUCCUCGCCGUUGCGGCGACAAGUGCCAUUGCACAAAUGGAGAAUAGCCACAUCCCUGGUUUGGAGAGACCAUCGCAGCAACAACCAUUACCACCACAACAAACAUUAUCGCACCAACAACCACAACAACCCAUCCAACAACAACCACAACAAUUUCCACAACAGCAACCAUGUUCACAACAACAACAACAACAACAACAACAACAACAACAACAACAACAACAACAACAACAACAACAACAACAACAACCAUUAUCGCAGCAACAACAACCACCAUUUUCACAGCAACAACAACCACCAUUUUCACAGCAACAACCACCAUUUUCGCAGCAACAACAACCAGUUCUACCGCAACAGCCAUCAUUUUCGCAGCAACAACUACCACCAUUUUCACAACAACAACCACCGUUUUCACAACAACAACAACCAGUACUACCGCAACAACCACCAUUUUCGCAACAACAACAACAACAACCAAUUCUACCACAACAACCAUCAUUUUCGCAACAACAACAACAACUAGUUCUACCGCAACAACAAAUACCAUUUGUUCAUCCAUCUAUCUUGCAGCAGCUGAACCCAUGCAAGGUAUUCCUCCAGCAGCAAUGCAGCCCUGUGGCAAUGCCACAAAGUCUUGCUAGGUCGCAAAUGUUGCAGCAGAGUAGUUGCCAUGUGAUGCAACAACAAUGUUGCCAGCAGUUGCCGCAAAUCCCCCAGCAAUCCCGCUAUGAGGCAAUCCGUGCUAUCAUCUACUCCAUCGUCCUGCAAGAACAACAACAGGUUCGGGGUUCCAUCCAAACUCAGCAGCAGCAACCGCAACAGUUGGGCCAAUGCGUUUCCCAACCCCAACAGCAGUCACAGCAGCAACUCGGGCAACAACCUCAACAACAACAAUUGGCACAGGGUACCUUUUUGCAGCCACACCAGAUAGCUCAGCUUGAGGUGAUGACUUCCAUUGCGCUCCGUACCCUGCCAAUGAUGUGCCGUGUCAAUGUGCCGUUGUAUAGGACCACCACUAGUGUGCCAUUUGGCGUUGGCACUGGAGUUGGUGCCUACUGAUAA